rnacentral:rRNA from 1 species
UACGUAGGGGGCGAGCGUUGUCCGGAUUUAUUGGGCGUAAAGAGCUCGUAGGCGGUUUGGUAAGUCGGAUGUGAAAUCUCCAGGCUCAACCUGGAGGGGUCAUUCGAUACUGCCAUGACUAGAGUUCGGUAGGGGUGUGUGGAAUUCCUGGUGGAGCGGUGAAAUGCGCAGAUAUCAGGAGGAACACCCGUAGCGAAGGCGGCACACUGGGCCGAUACUGACGCUGAGGAGCGAAAGCGUGGGGAGCGAACAGG